rnacentral:tRNA from 1 species
GAGGGUAUAGCUCAGUGGUAGAGUCCAUGCUUAGCAUGCACGAGGUCCUGGGUUCAGUGCCCAGCACCCCCA